AUUGAACGCUGGCGGCAUGCCUUACACAUGCAAGUCGAACGGCAGCACGGGUGCUUGCACCUGGUGGCGAGUGGCGAACGGGUGAGUAAUACAUCGGAACAUGUCCUGUAGUGGGGGAUAGCCCGGCGAAAGCCGGAUUAAUACCGCAUACGAUCCACGGAUGAAAGCGGGGGACCUUCGGGCCUCGCGCUAUAGGGUUGGCCGAUGGCUGAUUAGCUAGUUGGUGGGGUAAAGGCCUACCAAGGCGACGAUCAGUAGCUGGUCUGAGAGGACGACCAGCCACACUGGGACUGAGACACGGCCCAGACUCCUACGGGAGGCAGCAGUGGGGAAUUUUGGACAAUGGGCGAAAGCCUGAUCCAGCAAUGCCGCGUGCGUGAAGAAGGCCUUCGGGUUGUAAAGCACUUUUGUCCGGAAAGAAAUCCUUGACUCUAAUACAGUCGGGGGAUGACGGUACCGGAAGAAUAAGCACCGGCUAACUACGUG
rnacentral:rRNA from 1 species